rnacentral:rRNA from 1 species
UUCGGGCUGCAGUCUGCAACUCGACUGCACGAAGCUGGAAUCGCUAGUAAUCGCGGAUCAGCACGCCGCGGUGAAUACGUUCCCGGGCCUUGUACACACCGCCCGUCACACCAUGGAAGUCUGCAAUGCCCGAAGCCGGUGGCCUAACCACUUAUGUGGAAGGAGCCGUCUAAGGCAGGGCAGAUGACUGGGGUGAAGUCGUAACAAGGUACC